CUACAAAUCAUCUAGAAAUCUUGUUAAAAUACAGAUUCUGACUCAGCAAUUCCUGGGUGGGGCCUGAGAGUCUACAUUUCUAACAAGGUCCCAGGUGAUGUGCUG
rnacentral:pre_miRNA from 1 species